rnacentral:rRNA from 1 species
GACGAACGCUGGCGGCGUGCCUAAUACAUGCAAGUCGAACGCAUUUUCUUUCACCGUAGCUUGCUACACCGAAAGAAAAUGAGUGGCGAACGGGUGAGUAACACGUGGGUAACCUGCCCAUCAGCGGGGGAUAACACUUGGAAACAGGUGCUAAUACCGCAUAAUUCCAUUUACUGCAUGGUAGAUGGAUGAAAGGCGCUUUUGCGUCGCUGAUGGAUGGACCCGCGGUGCAUUAGCUAGUUGGUGGGGUAACGGCCUACCAAGGCUGCGAUGCAUAGCCGACCUGAGAGGGUGAUCGGCCACACUGGGACUGAGACACGGCCCAGACUCCUACGGGAGGCAGCAGUAGGGAAUCUUCGGCAAUGGACGCAAGUCUGACCGAGCAACGCCGCGUGAGUGAAGAAGGUUUUCGGAUCGUAAAACUCUGUUGUUAGAAAAGAACAAGGAUGAGAGUGGAAAGUUCAUCCCUUGACGGUAUCUAACCAGAAAGCCACGGCUAACUACGUG